CCUGUUUAUCAAAAACAUCGCCUUUUGAUUUUAUAUAAGGUCUAACCUGCCCACUGAGUAUUAAAGGGCCGCGGUAUUUUGACCGUGCAAAGGUAGCAUAAUCAUUAGUCUUCUAAUUAAAGGCUGGCAUGAAUGGUUGAACGAAGUAUAAGCUGUCUCAUAGAAAUUAAUAAAAUUUAACUUUUCAGUGAAAAGGCUGAAAUAGGAUUGGAGGACGAGAAGACCCUAUAGAGCUUAAUAAUUAUUAUUAGCUAGAAUGUAGUAGAUGUUUAUAAUUAGUAUAAAUUAUUUUGUUGGGGUGACAAGAAAAUAAGAGAACUUUUCUUUUAUAGGCCAUGGAUAAAUGAAUGUAAGAUCCGUAAUAACGAAUAUAAGAUUAAGUUACCUUAGGGAUAACAGCGUAAUCUUUUUUGAGAGUUCAAAUCGACAAAAGGGAUUGCGACCUCGAUGUUGGACUAAGGAGAAUUUUGGGUGCAGAUGUUCAAAGUUUAGGUCUGUUCGACCUUUAAAAUCUUACAUGAUCUGAGUUCAAACC
rnacentral:rRNA from 1 species